UACGUAGGGUGCAAGCGUUGUCCGGAAUUAUUGGGCGUAAAGAGCGCGCAGGCGGUCGUUCAAGUCGCGUGUGAAAGCCCCCGGCUCAACUGGGGAGGGUCACGCGAUACUGAUCGACUCGAAGGCAGGAGAGGGUAGUGGAAUUCCCGGUGUAGUGGUGAAAUGCGUAGAUAUCUGGAGGAACACCGGUGGCGAAGGCGGCAUCCUGGACCGGCAUUGACGCUGAGGCGCGAAAGCUAGGGGAGCAAACGGG
rnacentral:rRNA from 1 species